AAUUAACGCUGGCAGAGUGCAUAACACAUGCAAGUCGAGCGAAACUAGUCGCAAGAUUAGUUUAGCGGCAGACGAGUGAGUAACACGUAAAGAAUCUACCCUUGAAUGGCGAAUAACCAAUCGAAAGGCUGGCUAAUACGCCGUACUCUCCCUUGAAGGCAUCUUCGAGGGAGGAGAGAUCCGCAAGGAUCGUUCUUGGAGGACUUUGCGGCCCAUCAGCUAGUUGGCGGUGUAAUAGACCACCAAGGCUACGACGGGUACCCGGCCUGAAAGGGCGGACGGGCACGAUGGCACUGAGACACGGGCCAUACUCCUACGGGAGGCAGCAGUGGGGAAUUUUGGACAAUGGGCGAAAGCCUGAUCCAGCAACUCUGCGUGAGGGACGAAGGUCUUCGGAUCGUAAACCUCUUUUACAUGGGAAGAAUACCCGCAAGGGUUCGACGGUACCAUGUGAAUAAGCCACGGCUAACUAUGUGCCAGCAGCCGCCGC
rnacentral:rRNA from 1 species